ensembl:lncRNA
CAUCCUUUGAUUCAGGGCAAGCACGUCUUGGUCCAGAUGGACAACACAGUGACGGUGGCCUAUAUCAAACAUCAGGGUGGUGUUCGCUUCCAUUGUAUGUCACAACUUUCCCACCAUCUCCUAUCAUGGAGCCAGCAGAGACUCAAGUCCUUGUGUGCCACUCACAUUCUGGGUAACCUCAGCCAUGUAGUGGACUCCCUCUCACGUCAGGUCUCGUUCCGAGGUGAGUGGAGGCUGCACCCCAAGACGGUCCAGCUAAUUUGGAGUCGAUUCAGUCAGGCACAAGUAGAUCUGUAUGCCUUACUGGAAUCCACUCAUUGCCUACUAUGGUAUUCCCUGACCGAGGGCUCUCUCGGCAUGGACACACUGGCACACAGCUGGCCCAGGGGUCUACACAAGUAUGUGUUUCCCCCAGUGAGCCUCAUCGCACAGAUUCUGUGCAAGGUCAGGGAGGACGAAGAGCAAGUCUUGAUGGUGGCCCCUUUUUGGCCCAACAAGACUUGGUUCGCAGAACUGGUGCUGCUGGCAUCAGCUCCUCCCUGGCAGAUUCCCCUGAGGAGAGACCUUCUAUCUCAGGGGAAAGGCACAAUCUGGCACCCGCACCCAAAUUUCUGGAACCUGCACAAUUUUCCAAGAAGAGUUCAGAGGUCUCUCAUCCGCAGUGGUGAAUACCAUCACACAAGCCAGGUCCCCCUCGAUGAAGCGGCCAUAUGACCUGAAGUGGCGCAUUUUCGUAGAUUGGUGUUCUUCCCAGGGGAAGGACCUUCGGAAAUCGGUGCUUUCCUUCCUCCAGCAAGGCCUGGAUAGGAGCCUGUCUGCCGCUAUUUUUAAGGUGUAUGUGGCUGCCAUUGAAGCUAACCAUGACACCAUAAACGGCAGAUCGGUAGGGAAACACGAUCUGGUUAUCAGAUUCCUAAGAGGCACCCGGAGGUUAAAUCCUCCAAGGCCAUGCUUCAUCCCCACUUGGGAUCUAUCUGUGGUCCUUCAGGCCUUACAAAGAGAUCCAUUUGAG